rnacentral:rRNA from 1 species
CAGUAGCCGCGGUAAUACGAAGGGUGCAAGCGUUAAUCGGAAUUACUGGGCGUAAAGCGUGCGUAGGCGGUUUGUUAAGUCUGCUGUGAAAUCCCCGGGCUCAACCUGGGAAUGGCAGUGGAUACUGGCAAGCUAGAGUGUGUCAGAGGAUGGUGGAAUUCCCGGUGUAGCGGUGAAAUGCGUAGAGAUCGGGAGGGACAUCAGUGGCGAAGGCGGCCAUCUGGGACAACACUGACGCUGAGGCACGAAAGCGUGGGGAGCAAACAGGAUUAGAUACCCCCGUAGUCCCUGUCUCUUAUAC